CGUGUAGGCGGUCAGGUAAGUGAGAUGUGAAAUGCCCCGGCUCACCCGGGGACCGGCAUCUCAUACUGCUUGGCUUGAGUACGGGAGAGGAUGUGGGAAUUCCUGGUGUAGCGGUGAAAUGCGUAGAUAUCAGGAGGAACACCGGUGGCGAAGGCGGCAUCCUGGACCGACACUGACGCUGAGGAGCGAAAGCCAGGGGAGCAAACG
rnacentral:rRNA from 1 species